rnacentral:tRNA from 1 species
GUAGGUAUAGUUAAAUAAGAACGUUAGAUUGUGAUUCUAAAGACAGGGGUUAAACUCCCCUUACCCACC